rnacentral:rRNA from 1 species
GACGAACGCUGGCGGCGUGCUUAACACAUGCAAGUCGAACGGUAAGGCCCCAUCUUGCUGGGGUACACGAGUGGCGAACGGGUGAGUACCCCUUGGCGACCGGCCCCCCCCUUCGGGAUAAGACUGGGAAAGUGGGCCCAAUACCGGGGACGACCGUACCGGGGGGGGGUGGUGGAAAGUUUUUUGGGGUGGGAUGGGCCCGCGGCCCAUCCGCUUCUUAGUGGGGUUAGGGCCUUCCAGAGCAGGGACGGGCAGCCGGGCUGAGAGGGUGGGCGGCCACAUUGGACCUGAGACACGGCCCAGACUACUACGGGAGGCAGCGGUGGAGAGUAUUGCACAAUGGGCGGAAGCCUGAUGCAACGACGCCGCGUGGGGGAUGACGGCCUUCGGGUAGUAAACUACUUUCACCAUCGACGAAGGGUUUCUGACGGUAGAUGGAGAAGAAGCACCGGCUAACUACGUG